UUCUCCCUCUCCGGCGAACCUCUGUUCGCCGUCGUAAACCACACUAUGACCUCACCGAUCUACUCUCUCCAUUCAAACUUCCGCCUCUGAUUUCAUCUCUCUGAUGUUCAUCGGUGUCGCUCCGACGGCGCUUCAAAUGUAACGGCGAUGAACGAAGUUCCGCGGCUCCGUAUUCAGAUAUGCUCGUCUCGUCUCAUCCUCUUAUCUUUUACCUUCUGUUAUUGAUGGCGAUGAUGUUAUGGUAGUUGUUGUUGAUUGUAGGAGAUUGUUGAAGUUUUUCUCGAUUCAGUGAUGAUAGCGAGGUGUUGUUGUUGUUGUGAUUGAAGAAUGAUCGAUGAUGAAGGUUGAAAUGAGAUUGAAGAGGUUUCUUGAUUCUGAAUUUUUGUUACGAUUUUCUGCAGGUUAUCAAUGGAGAGUGGAGACGGAUGAAUCGACGAUGAUGAUAUUGAAGGUUGAUGGGGAUGAAGCUGAAUGGAGCCUAUUGAAGCUGAGAAGAUGGAAGAUGAUAGAGGGUGAUUAGAGUGUGUAGAAGAUGUGUGAUAAAGAGAAGGAGAAUGAUGAAUUGAAGAAGAAGAUUGAAGAAUGGAAGGGGAGAAAGAGUGAAGAGGUUCUGCAAGGGUGAGAAGUGAAGAAUGGCUCAGGGAUUUGAAGGAUGAAUCCAGAGGGAACUGAAUCAGCGAUGAAGCUCUAUUAUAUAUAGAGUUUCAGGACUGUGUUGGCAUCCUGAACGGGGUCACCUGAAGAAUGAAAUAUGGGAAUGGUUUGCAGAACUGAAGAGAGAGAAGUCAAUGACAAGCAAAAGUCAACAAAUGGGAA